AAUCACUCAAAUAUUUCCUAUAAUUUCCCGUCUCUCUCUCUCUCUUCAUCUUUCGCUGUAAACCCAGAUAAGCCUCUGCCUCCUCCAUCUACUACGCAACACCAUCUAUUCACCAUCAUCAUUACAUCUGUUCGCCACCAUUCUGCACAACCCUACAUCACUGAUUCACCACCAUCGCUUGCAUUAGGUUUAACCAUCAACCUCCAUCAUCAUCUUCGAUUCAAGAUGUGUAGACAUGCAUUUCUUGUGUCGAAGACCAGAUUGAAAGGGGGUUUACCAUCGUCUUUUGGGAACAAAUCCUCCGCCAUCUCCGUCUGACCGCAGUUGCAUCACCAUACCCAAAUCACCAUCUUUCUCAUAAAAUUAGGGCUUUUAUCGACUGGCCACACAGCUAAGUGAUCGAAUGGAAACAUAUGGUUUCAUUGGAGUUCAUAAUGUAGAAAGAUACAUGCAAAAAAGAGUACAAAUUCAGGAUUGAAUUAGCCUGGAAAAAUCUAAAGAUAAUAACUAUCUCAUCUUUAUUUUUGAGUGUCACAGUAAACUAUAUUUUUUUUAUGAUCUUAGUUUAUUUGUGAUUAUAACUAAACUAGAUUUUUUAUGUUCAUAUUUCCUUUUAUUCGUUAAUGAAUAUAAAUGUAUUGAUUUUUCUACCUUUGUAAUGUACUCUAUUCAUUUAUGAUUAUGAAUUUUAUUGUGGUUUUUUUUA